CGAGCGCUACCGUCCUGGUCCGUGGAUCAGAAAGUUGCAAUUCUUACCGAGCCACAGAUCAGAUAACGACGGAAAAGCUAGGCCGUUUGUCGCAUGUUUCCUCUCAAGAACAGCUUCGUCCCCCUUUCGUCUACGAGUGAGCUGCUCGUGGCGGCGGCGCUAAUUUCGGCCACCCGCGGCCAAGGAAAAUGGAGGACGCUGGUGUGGAGUUUCUUCUGGACGCUGUCGACAGGUUCCCGCCGCGGGAGGAGUACGCGGACAACAUUGAACAUAGAUCCGGUUCCUCUGGUCUUGUUGCCCACAAGAGAAACCAAUCGUGGAGACCCUGAAGACUCAAAUGUCGGGUCUGGCUGCGGGCAAUGGCUCGGCGACGAUGGAGCUGACAAAGCACGAGACGGAGUUCGCCGACGUUCAGAUUCAUCUCCGACCAUGUCAGCGCAGUCAACUGACAAAGUCAACCCACAGGCCCCAAGUUGGAAAAAAAAGGUUGUGGCUGGGUAGUGCACCGACAAACCGAACAACGUGACCGUCUCGCAUUAGUACUCUUUAGCGGUCAAUUCGCAAAUAGGCGGAGGAACUGACAAAGAGUGUCGUACGACCAGCACUUGGCCUGAGUUUUGAUUCACUUGAUAAAACCUGAAAACUACUUUGACAAUUGAAGAUUUUUGGCAUCCGGUUGCCGGGAGCCAGGUGGCUUCUUGUUACAUGAAUCACUGUGAGCAGCUCAGAGCCUAAUUGUUGCUGGCAGACAGAACCAAGGUGCGGCAGAAGCAAACGAAGAGGACCAGCCUGGACCAGGAACUUCUAAUGGUGCAGGACAUCAAAACGGGAAAACUAUAAUGGAAGAAAUCUCAGAUUCCUUGAGCAGCGAUAGUGAUGGCAAUGGCGGUGAUCCAAACGAUAGCAUUAUCAGAGAGUAGAAGACAGAGGUCAACCCCUAGGGCUACAGAGUUCGCAGGGAAGCCUCCGUAUUAGGAAUGAUGUGGAAGGUGGCCAUGUCACAGGUGCACAUGACAGGUUUUGCGCCACGGGGUAUGAUGAGGCUGAGGCAAAGACUGCAGUUGAGGGACGGUGGUGACCAUGGAGCCGGUAGCAGCGGUGCCGCUGCCGGGGCUGAUCUUACUGAAGAAAACGGUGAGCAUCAAAGCAGGGAGGCACAGAGGACAUGGAACGAAAUGGCAGUUGUUGAGGAGCAAGCAAAGAUAGACCUUGAAUUGAGGGGUGGUGCAGCAAACAGUGGUGCGUUAGGGGCUUCCAGUGGACCUCCAGACGAAGAACACUAGCAACGUGUGUGCAGCCUGGCUGCGGCAGCUCUAUACUUAGUGGACAGAGCAAUAGACAAUUCCAUUCUCGCCUGUGCACAUUGCUAUGUCCUUUAUUGUUUUGCAUGUAGCAACCGGUGCAUUGCCGACAAACAUGCAUCUUUGAUCAAGCAAGGGCUCUGCUGUCAAGGCUGGGCGUAUGGAGAUAUUGGACAUGCUGCCUCUCCUGGAGGCCAAGAGAAAGGUGGAGAAACGGGAGAAGCUAGAGACGGCGUUGCUAAUGACGACAUUAAUUGGGAAGAACUGAAGAAUGAAAGCCGGGAAGCACCACCAAUGACAACUCAAGAACAAAUGGAUACUGAUAAUCAAUUUGCAUGAAAUCUUGAUCAUUAUGCAAUGGCAUAGAGCUGGACGUUGAAUUGAUGAAGAUCACAUAGAUUCGAUGUGGCAUCGAAGGUGCCAACAAAUUACAUGGGAGAGCAAGUUGCAUCAGGGGGAGAGUCCGAUACAAUUGAUGAAGAUCACAUAGAUUCGAUGCUGGCCUCCUUGAACAUGUGCAUUCCCCGGAUUGCGUGGACUGGAGCAAUGAUGGUGGUUGGGAGUGGCAGGCCUGGAGACGACGUGGACGAAGAUCCUCCGUGCAAUGGUGUGAUACUGCUUGGCUGGCAUAGUGAAGACCGUGAAGCAGAAGCUGAGUCUAGCAGCGAAGGUGUCCGUGCUAACCAGAAGCGGAAAAUCCUGUCGCCGCUUUGUGGAUGUGGUUACAAACUGUCGGCCUGGACUGUUUCAUCGAGAUGAUGAAGGUAUUCGUCCUUCCUAGGCAGGCAGAAUUGCUGUAACUAUGAUCCGGUGCCCAGCUGCUAAACAUUGUAUUAAGUGAAAAAAUUGGCCUCAGAUAGCGGAAAAAAAUAGAGCUCUUGGGAUGCAGUACAAAAUAGACAGCAUGACAACCUGAAGUUGGGCAUUCAUUAAAUCCGCGCGCGCGGCAACAAACACAACGGCGGCUAAUUGAAUUCAGAAUUUGAUCAAAAAACCAUGUCCAUCUGCAUGGCAUCUUUUGCUUGAGACAGUGCCAUUUGGAAGCGUUGCUCGCUUGAGACAAGUGCAUGAGAGCCCUUGCAUUUUGCUGUUCGAGAAUCAUGGUGAGCUCAUCAGUUACCUGCGUUGAGGAUAAAACAAAAAAAAUUAGGGAAAAAUAGAAGGACAGGGUGUAAUGUGGGCGUUCGUAGGUUCAGCAUUAUACAUACGAGAUGUGGGUACUGCCGUCGUAAAUACUUGACAAAAUCAAGUGGUUCUCGUCUUCUCGAGCUCCGAACUGCAAAACGGACAGGGGAUCAGACAAAGGAGAAAGUCUUGAAACGGGAAGCGAGGAUGAAGAAGCAGCAGACAUGGCGGCAGAGAU